rnacentral:rRNA from 1 species
UACAGGUGGGAUUGCGUUUGAACCUUUAACAGGUAUUAAGUGUGAUUAGGCUGCCUUAAUGGCUAGAGUUAUUUGAGGAGAAUAAGGAAUAACCCAUGAAAGGAUGAAAUCUGGAGAUAUGGGUUAGAACAUCUACUAUUGGCGACAGCAUUAUUCUAUUAAAUUACUGACGUCUGAUUCACUAAAGUGUGGGGAGCAAAUCGG